UUUAGUUUGAAAUCAAUUUCAUUAAUAUGUUCCAUGUCAAAUUACACUGUUUAGGUAUAACAGGGACAUAAAAUGUCACACUUGGACCCUGAAUUAUAGAAUGACCUACAUUGCAUAACACAUCUUCACAGACUAUCCUUCAGUUCAUGUCCUUGGGUGGUGGUUUAGAUACAUUUACACAUGUACAUGUAUGACAAUUUUAAGGUGAUCACACUUACAUGUAUAACGUUUUGAACAAAAAAGCAUUCUAACCCUCAUUCUGCCAGCAGGUAAAGUAAUGUGUAUAAUGGGGCAGUGACUUUGGUCAUUUAAAACACAAUUUGCACCAAGUUUUAAGUCAAAUAUUUGUACGUGUACAAGAUCACUUGAUUCCAAAACUUCUCUCAGCAACAAAGAAAAUUUAGUAUACAGUACAGUUGAACCUUGUUAAUAAGAGCACUGUUAAUACAAGAUUCUGCUUGAAUAACAAGGAAAAUUUUAGGUCCUAAUCCUCCGGUCUCUGGCCGAAAUAGAUACUGUUUUUCUUACAUGUUUUUUUCUUUUUAUUUUAUUUUCUUAAAUUUCAUUUCUUCUUCUUUUUCAAAUUUUUCCUAUUGACAUAACACAGGGUCGUUCUAUACACCACUUUUGAUCGGGCCGAUUUACCUCAAACCUGGCACAUUGUUAGACUACCACCCAAGGAUGUAUGCCGAAUCAUGACAUCAUCAUGAUGACAUCACCUGAUUUAUUAUAGAAUUUUGAAUAUUUAAUUUUUCCCCACAUGUUUGUACACGUUUUUCAACUGCCAGAAUGGCAUGCUCUUUGGCCACUCCACAAAAGAAACUUGGUCCAAGCAAAGACCAUACAGCAUAGAGGGCCAUAGAGGAAUGACGUCAGUUUGACCUCAUAAUUAGAUUUAUCAUUUAAUUUUGAAGAUUUAAUUUCUUCCAUUGACUUUGUACACAUUUUGAAACCCAUUGACUUUGUACAUACACCCUGUACGCGAUCGGUCGAUGCAUGGAGCAUUAUGGCCGAUGUGAGCAUUGUCGCACAGUCUUAAUGCAGGAAGACCUAAAUAAUUUGGCUAGAAGGUUGUGAAAAAAAUCGUGCAAAAUAUAUCGAGGGGAAUGAACUCUGAGAUUUCAUGUUUCAGGCCUCAACCAAUUUUGAUUCUCGACAUAAAUCAUCCGUGCUUGUUUUAUUCCUCCAUGGUGCAUGUUUAGACCAUUUGCGUGGUCUCGCGUCAAUACAUGGAUUUGAUACGGACAAUAAUUUAGACGGGCCCAUGUGUUCAGGAUCUCUUGGGACUUCCCGGACCCAAAAAUAUACCGAUUGAGUUCUUACAUGUCUGAAUGGAUUUUUCUUGAUUGGAAGAUUCGAAAGGUAAUUCUAUGAAAGCUGAACUGAAACCAAAUUCAUGCAAAUUGCUGGAGUUGUUGACACCUAAUAAGCAUGCAUGAUCACAGUGAUCGUUGGCAAGGGUGCACCGAGCCCAACAGCUACACGUAGUGCGGCGGGCAGCUGGGUUUGGAAGCUGGAUGGAUGAAGUGCUGGAACUGGGUCUGGUAGGCAAAGGUAUAUGUAUUACAAAACAUUCUCAAUUGCAAGUUUUUGUCUGCACUUUCUGUGCUAAGUCUGGACAGUGAUGUUAGGGGAAGAAAGCUCACUCAAAUUAGCUCUGAAUUUGCUCUGACAUACACGUACAUGACAUAUCCCAAGAAAGUUGAACUCUACAAAUGGCCUUUUUAAAAUUUCAAUAUGCACACCUUAGCUUACAUGUAUGUCCAAAUGAUGAACAAUGAAAAAGGCGAUUAACAGUGAUUAGUAAGUCCUACGUGUUCAGCACAAUCCAGUGAUCAACUUGCACAUAUUCAUUAACUCCCUCCUGUGUACAUUAUCCAAUGGUUUUAGAGUGAUGGAUUUUAUUCAAAGGCAUGUCAAAUCAGGAUGGAGCACAUAUGCAAUACUUGUACAUGUACAUACUGUACAUGUACAUGUGCAAGUUUUACAAUUGCGCUGAAUGUAGAAAUCGAACUGACUAAAGUCCCUCACGGUCCAUACCGUAUUUCAUAACUAUGCCCCCGAGAACAAACCUUGUCAUUACGGGUUUACGAUACAUAUGUAAAUAUCCAAAAAUGUAUGAAUUCGAAAUCAAAUGUAGACCUAUGAUUCUUUAUACAUGUCAAUUAACGUAGCGUAAGCUGAUUACACGGAAUAAUUGAAUAUCUUUGUUUUCUUUCUUGUGUAUACAUGUAGGUGUCCUUUUUACUACUGCUGGAGUGAAAGCUACAGAUAAAUCUGUUCUCCAUGUUAGUUCUUAGCAUUGGAAUUCAACGUACAUGUACAUGUAACUACAGUUACUUGUAGAUGUCAGAGGCAUGGGUACCAGUGAUAAAGGAAGCUGCUGUAGAACAAAGCAAGGAAAUUAACAGCACAGACAUGAGGACGGUCUUCACACGUUUUGGAUGUCCCCGUUAUGAUUGAGUGCAGUCAAAGCAGGACUGAUCCUGAAAAGGAUAAGAACAGCUUUAUAAAACUACUUGUAGCAAGACUGCAACCAUCAGGAAGUGAGAUUUACUUUGAAAGCCACAGAUCUCCAUUUUAGGAAUUCAAUGUCGUUGCAGUUACAUGUAGAUCAGAUGCACAGCUACCAGUGAUAAGGGAAGCUGCUGUAGGCCUACAACGAAGCAAGGAAAUUCACAGAUGACACUGAAAAAUGUUUACCAGCACAUACAUGAAGGAAGUCUUUCACCAAGUAGGUGUUGUCGAUGGAAAUGCAAUUCGUACCAAGACUGUUCUACAGAAGGACUUCAUCAAAAUAACAUGAUCAUCUGCAACAAACAGCAACCACUAGGACAUGAGAUAGAUGUAUCUGUACAUGUCCCUGGCCUAUUUUGUUCAAGAUUUCUGCAGAAAAUGUGAACACAGGUUUUGGAGCAUUAUGCAAAGUUUCAACGGUCACAAGUUGCUGAUAUUUUAAAACUCUUCCCAUGUUUCUUAACUAUCUAGGGCAUAAAAAAAUUACCGGUAUUUAUAUAAUGUACAAUAGUGAAAUGCCCUAAGGCAGUUUUUCCCUUUUCUUUUAUAAAUAUUAAGGACACUUUAACAUUCUGUAACAUAACUUGAACAAGGCCGCUUUCAUUGUUCAAUAUUUUGAGUAUACAUGUAUUUCUUAACAUACACUUAAUCUGAGUUUGUGGUGCUGUGCUCGCAAAUACAGUUGUUAAAAGUAAUAAUUUGUCCAGUUACUGUUGAUAUGAAAUAAGUACUUUUGAAAGAAUUGUGUGAAAUUGCUGUUUGCAUUAUUUUUCUUCUGUCUUUGGAAUCGACGUCUCUUAGUUUGUGUAUACCGAUGGCUCUAACAGUCCCAUAUCCUCUGGUGUUAAGAUGAUUUUACAUCGUCACGGUUACAAAGCCGUACACCCUAUUGCAGAGAUUCUUCCCGGCAAUCAAACCCCUUACAAGAAAACUGAAGUGCGCCCUUACUUGAUGCUAUUCCACGUCUUGUGUUACCUGACUGAUAAUUUCCCUACAUUCAAUCAUAUUUUCGCCAGGGAUAAGGCAAGAAAGUACGCAGUGAUUGAAUUAAUC